UAAUACAUAAGUAACCUGCCCUAGACAGGGGGAUAACUAUUGGAAACGAUAGCUAAGACCGCAUAGGUACGGACACUGCAUGGUGACCGUAUUAAAAGUGCCUCAAAGCACUGGUAGAGGAUGGACUUAUGGCGCAUUAGCUGGUUGGCGGGGUAACGGCCCACCAAGGCGACGAUGCGUAGCCGACCUGAGAGGGUGACCGGCCACACUGGGACUGAGACACGGCCCAG
rnacentral:rRNA from 1 species